CAGCCCUACGGGACGCAGCAGUAGGGAAUCUUCCACAAUGGGCGAAAGCCUGAUGGAGCCCCGCCGCGUUUGUGAAGCAGGUCUUCGGAUCGUAAAACCCUGUUGUUAGAGAAGAAAGUGCGUGAGAGUAACUGUUCACGUUUCGACGGUAUCUAACCAGAAAGCCACGGCUAACUACGUGCCAGCAGCCGCGGUAAUACGUAGGUGGCAAGCGUUAUCCGGAUUUAUUGGGCGUAAAGGGAACGCAGGCGGUCUUUUAAGUCUGAUGUGAAAGCCUUCGGCUUAACCGGAGUAGUGCAUUGGAA
rnacentral:rRNA from 1 species